rnacentral:lncRNA from 1 species
GAACAGACUGGCCGAUGGGCGGCGAUGACGCAGAGUGCAUUGAUGCCGCAGGUUCCAGGAACGUGGCAGAGGUUCUCACACUUGCUGUGGUGGCACGACUGAGUGGGUAGGACUUCGCAAAAGUUUCGCGCUUUUGAGUUUUCGUUGCUGUGAUGUGCCUAGUUAGGCUUCUGCUGUCAACACCAGAAGUCGUACGGGUUGCCCUCGUAACCGGGCUUGCAGGUACAGUGCGGUCGAUGAACAACCGGACGACAGUUGGUGUGUCGGCCGCAAGAGUUUUGAAUGA